rnacentral:rRNA from 1 species
UACGAAGGGGGCUAGCGUUGCUCGGAAUCACUGGGCGUAAAGCGCACGUAGGCGGACUCUUAAGUCGGUGGUGAAAUCCUGGAGCUCAACUCCAGAACUGCCUUUGAUACUGGGAGGCUCGAGUCCGGAAGAGGUGAGUGGAACUGCGAGUGUAGAGGUGAAAUUCGUAGAUAUUCGCAAGAACACCAGUGGCGAAGGCGGCUCACUGGUCCGGUACUGACGCUGAGGUGCGAAAGCGUGGGGAGCAAACAGG